UCUCCGGCGUUUCUGCUCGUUCAUCCAUGGGUGGGGAUUGAGUGCAUUGCUUGUGUUAUGUAUAAAGUAUUGCACUUGUCCCGGCCUAUGGAAGAAAGGAGGAUCUUAUCAU
rnacentral:pre_miRNA from 1 species